rnacentral:rRNA from 1 species
UACGAAGGGGGCGAGCGUUGCUCGGAAUCACUGGGCGUAAAGCGCACGUAGGCGGGUCGUUAAGUCAGGGGUGAAAUCCUGGAGCUCAACUCCAGAACUGCCCUUGAUACUGGCGAUCUCGAGUUCGGGAGAGGUGAGUGGAACUGCGAGUGUAGAGGUGAAAUUCGUAGAUAUUCGCAAGAACACCAGUGGCGAAGGCGGCUCGCUGGCCCGAUACUGACGCUGAGGUGCGAAAGCGUGGGGAGCAAACAGG